UGGCUAACUCCUACGGGAGGCAGCAGUGGGGAAUAUUGCACAAUGGGCGAAAGCCUGAUGCAGCAACGCCGCGUGAGGGAUGACGGCCUUCGGGUUGUAAACCUCUUUUAGCGGGGAAGAGGCGAAAGUGACGGUACCUGCAGAAAAAGCGCCGGCUAACUACGUGCCAGCAGCCGCGGUAAUACGUAGGGCGCAAGCGUUAUCCGGAAUUAUUGGGCGUAAAGAGCUCGUAGGCGGUUUGUCGCGUCUGCUGUGAAAACCCGAGGCUCAACCUCGGGCCUGCAGUGGGUACGGGCAGACUAGAGUGCGGUAGGGGAGAUUGGAAUUCCUGGUGUAGCGGUGGAAUGCGCAGAUAUCAGGAGGAACACCGAUGGCGAAGGCAGAUCUCUGGGCCGUAACUGACGCUGAGGAGCGAAAGGGUGGGGAGCAAACAGGAUUAGAUACCCUGGUAGUCCAGCUGG
rnacentral:rRNA from 1 species